AGAAAGAAUUGAAGGUAAUAUACGAAUAAGUAUCGACUAACUCUGUGCCAGCAGUCGCGGUAAGACAGAGGAUACAAGCGUUAUCCGGAUUUAUUGGGUUUAAAGGGUGCGUAGGCGGUUUUUUAAGUCAGUAGUGAAAUCUUAAAGCUUAACUUUAAAAGUGCUAUUGAUACUGAAAAACUAGAGUAAGGUUGGAGUAACUGGAAUGUGUGGUGUAGCGGUGAAAUGCAUAGAUAUCACACAGAACACCGAUAGCGAAAGCAAGUUACUAACCCUAUACUGACGCUGAGUCACGAAAGCAUGGGGAGCAAACAGGAUUAGAUACCCUGGUAGUCCAUGCCGUAAACGAUGAUCACUAACUAUUGGGUUUUGUACGUUGUAAUUCAGUGGUUAAGCGAAAGUGUUAAGUGAUCCACCUGAGGAGUACGACCGCAAGGUUGAAACUCAAAGGAAUUGACGGGGGCCCGCACAAUCGGUGGAGCAUGUGGUUUAAUUCGAUGAUACACGAGGAACCUUACCAAGACUUAAAUGUACUACGAAUAAAUUGGAAACAAUUUAGUCAAGCGACGGAGUACAAGGUGCUGCAUGGUUGUCGUCAGCUCGUGCCGUGAGGUGUAAGGUUAAGUCCUUUAAACGAGCGCAACCCUUAUUAUUAGUUGCCAUCGAGUAAUGUCAGGGGACUCUAAUAAGACUGCCGGCGCAAGCCGAGAGGAAGGUGGGGAUGACGUCAAAUCAUCACGGCCCUUACGUCUUGGGCCACACACGUGCUACAAUGAUCGGUACAAAAGGGAGCGACUGGGUGACCAGAAGCAAAUCCAGAAAGCCGAUCUCAGUUCGGAUUGGAGUCUGAAACUCGACUCCAUGAAGCUGGAAUCGCUAGUAAUCGUGCAUCAGCCAUGGCACGGUGAAUAUGUUCCCGGGCCUUGUACACACC
rnacentral:rRNA from 1 species